rnacentral:piRNA from 2 species
UCAGUGGUGCAGAAGAGCCUGGGUGGAGGU